rnacentral:rRNA from 1 species
AGCCGCUCCACCGUCAGCGAUCUGGCCGAGGACAGAGCCUCAGCUCUCCCGUGAGGAAGAGCUUCGACCCAGGCCUGACACGUCCGCCGCCGGCUUCGCUUGAUAAACUCAGCCCGUCCGCCUCGACCCUCAGAGCCAAUCCUUAUCCCGAAGUUACGGAUCCAAUUUGCCGAUUUCCCUUACCCACAUUCAUCCAUCGACUAGAGGCUGUUCACCUUGGAGACCUGAUGCGGAUAUCGGUACGAACGGGCGCGAACGUCCAACAACGUAGCCCUCCCGCCGGAUUUUCAAGGGCCAGCCGAGAACGCCACGGACGUCGCAGAAACGCGACGCUCUUCGGGAUAGCCUUUGACAGCGAAAUCCAUAACCCUCUCGCCCCGCGACGGGAUUCCAGGGUCUCGGUCCCUCAAGCAGAAAAGAAAACUCUUACGAGGGUUAAGGCGAAAGGGGAUCCGGUCCUGAUUCCGGAUCCGGGAGGCGGCUACGUCCGCGAUAAAACAACUUCACCCCUCAAUGCACGGGCGCGGGACCGCGACACAAACCGGAGAAGCUGCCGAGAACCCCGGGAAGAGUUUGCUUUUCUGCUUGAGGGACCGAGACCCUGGAAUCCCGUCGCGGGGCGAGGGGGGUAUGGAUUUAGCUGUAAAGGCUAUCCCGAAGAGCGUCGCGUUUCUGCGACGUCCGUGGUCGUUCUCGGCUGGCCCUUGAAAAUCCGGCGGGAGGGUUACGUUUGUGGACGUUAGCGCCCGUUCGUACCGAUAUCCGCAUCAGGUCUCCAAGGUGAACAGCCUCUAGUCGAUGGGUGAAUGGGGGAAAGGGAAAUCGGCAAAUUGGAUCCGUAACUUCGGGAUAAGGAUUGGCUCUGAGGGUCGAGGCGGUCGGGCUGAGUUUAUCAAGCGAAGCCUUUUGCGGACGGGUCAGGCCUGGGUCGAAGCCCUUCCUCACGGGAGAGCUGUAGGCUCGGUCCUCGGACAGAUCGAUGACGGUGGAGCGGCUCGGCAUCGUCUGCGCGCGUGUGCGGCGGGAACGGCGUGUGGGCGGGGGCAACCGCGGGUGCGCGGGUCAGGUCUCGGCCGCCAUCGAACGACCACCCAGAACUGGCACGAUCCAGGGGAAUCCGACUGUCUAAUUAAAACACAUCCGACUGUCUAAUUAAAACAAAGCAUUGCGAUGGCCGCAAGUCGGUGCUGACUGCAAUGUGAUUUCUGCCCAGUGCUCUGAAAUGUCAAACUGAAGAAAUCAACGAAGCAGCGCGGGUAAACGGCGGGAGUAACUAUGACUCUCUUAAGGUAGUCAAAUGCCUCGUCAUCUAAUUAGUGACGCGCACGAAUGGAUUAAUAUUCAUCGAAUCGCGGGUAAACGGCGGGAGGAAAACUAGACUCCUGAAGGUAGCCAAAUGACUCGUCAUCUAAAGCCAAAUGCCUCGUCAUCUAAUUAGUGACGCGCAUGAAUGGAUCAACGAGAUUCCCACUGUCCCUACCUACUAUUUAGCGAAACUACAGCCAGGGGAACGGGCCUGGAGAAAUCAGCGGGGAAAGAAGACCCUGUUGAGCUUGACUCUAGUCUAGUAGUGUGAAACGUUUUUAGAGGCGUAGAAUAAGUGGGAGAGAAUGGAAACGUUCUCAGCAAUGAAAUACCACUACUUUGAUAAAUGUUUUACUUAUUGAAUGAGAAAGAGACUAUUAAUGGUUUUAGAGAAAGCAUGUGAAAGUGCAAUCUUUAUUCAAAAUAUUAUUAGAUAGGGAGUUUGGCUGGGGCGGCACAUUUACUAAAUGAUAACGUAAAUGUCCAAAGAUAGACUCAAUAAGAAUAGAAAUCUUAUGUAGAACAAAAAGGUAAAAGUUUAUUUGAUUUUUAUUUUCAGUAUGAAUGUAAACUAUGAAAGUAUGGCUUAUCGAUCCUUUAUGCAAUAAGAGGGAAGCAAUUCUCUUUUGAUUCAAGUUUAAUAAUAGAGGUGUCAGAAAAGUUACCACAGGGAUAACUGGCUUGUGGCA